rnacentral:rRNA from 1 species
AGAGUUUGAUCAUGGCUCAGGACGAACGCUGGCGGCGUGCCUAAUACAUGCAAGUCGAACGAAGCUUUCUUUCACCGAAUGCUUGCAUUCACCGAAAGAAGCUUAGUGGCGAACGGGUGAGUAACACGUAGGCAACCUGCCCAAAAGAGGGGGAUAACACUUGGAAACAGGUGCUAAUACCGCAUAACCAUGAACACCGCAUGAUGUUCGUGUAAAAGACGGCUUUUGCUGUCACUUUUGGAUGGGCCUGCGGCGUAUUAACUUGUUGGUGGGGUAACGGCCUACCAAGGUGAUGAUACGUAGCCGAACUGAGAGGUUGAUCGGCCACAUUGGGACUGAGACACGGCCCAAACUCCUACGGGAGGCAGCAGUAGGGAAUCUUCCACAAUGGACGAAAGUCUGAUGGAGCAACGCCGCGUGAAUGAAGAAGGCCUUCGGGUCGUAAAAUUCUGUUGUCAGAGAAGAAUGUGCGUGAGAGUAACUGUUCACGUAUUGACGGUAUCUGACCAGAAAGCCACGGCUAACUACGUGCCAGCAGCCGCGGUAAUACGUAGGUGGCAAGCGUUGUCCGGAUUUAUUGGGCGUAAAGGGAACGCAGGCGGUCUUUUAAGUCUGAUGUGAAAGCCUUCGGCUUAACCGAAGUAGUGCAUUGGAAACUGGAAGACUUGAGUGCAGAAGAGGAGAGUGGAACUCCAUGUGUAGCGGUGAAAUGCGUAGAUAUAUGGAAGAACACCAGUGGCGAAAGCGGCUCUCUGGUCUGUAACUGACGCUGAGGUUCGAAAGCGUGGGUAGCAAACAGGAUUAGAUACCCUGGUAGUCCACGCCGUAAACGAUGAGUGCUAAGUGUUGGAGGGUUUCCGCCCUUCAGUGCUGCAGCUAACGCAUUAAGCACUCCGCCUGGGGAGUACGGUCGCAAGACUGAAACUCAAAGGAAUUGACGGGGGCCCGCACAGGCGGUGGAGCAUGUGGUUUAAUUCGAAGCAACGCGAAGAACCUUACCAGGUCUUGACAUCUUCUGACAAUUCCAGAGAUGGAACGUUCCCUUCGGGGACAGAAUGACAGGUGGUGCAUGGUUGUCGUCAGCUCGUGUCGUGAGAUGUUGGGUUAAGUCCCGCAACGAGCGCAACCCUUAUUGUCAGUUGCCAUCAUUAAGUUGGGCACUCUGGCGAGACUGCCGGUGACAAACCGGAGGAAGGUGGGGAUGACGUCAAAUCAUCAUGCCCCUUAUGACCUGGGCUACACACGUGCUACAAUGGACGGUACAACGAGUCGCUAACUCGCGAGGGCAAGCUAAUCUCUUAAAGCCGUUCUCAGUUCGGAUUGCAGGCUGCAACUCGCCUGCAUGAAGUCGGAAUCGCUAGUAAUCGCGAAUCAGCAUGUCGCGGUGAAUACGUUCCCGGGCCUUGUACACACCGCCCGUCACACCAUGAGAGUUUGUAACACCCAAAGUCGGUGGGGUAACCUUUUGGAGCCAGCCGCCUAAGGUGGGACAGAUGAUUGGGGUGAAGUCGUAACAAGGUA